rnacentral:tRNA from 1 species
GGGCAUAUAGCUCAGUUGGUUAGAGCGCGCCGUUCACAUCGGCGAGGUCUCUGGUUCGAGCCCAGAUAUGCCCACCA